UACCACUUAAAGGACAUUCAAGUAAUAAAAUAAAAUAAAAUAUUAGUAGAUAUUAGUGAUUUCAGUUAAUGACCCCUGCUAAUAAGAUUUUUGGAGCAUUAACUGUGGUGUAGUGUGUGGAUUUCCAACAGGGCACGCAUGCGAAGAGCGGUCAUAAGAUAGACAUAGAAAAGCUUAAAAGCUUAUCACCGAAUAUCAUUGAUCUGCGGUCACCUUGGAUAAGUGAACGAAACAUCACGCGAUUCUUAUCUAUGUUUUUGCAUAUCGAGAUAAGAGUGCCGUUAUGUAAAAGCUUUUUCUCUAGCAUAGUUAGGGCUAGAUUUGCAUAGGAGAGCUUUGACAUUUUUUGACGAGCUUGAAAGCAAUACGGCUGCAAUUGUAAGCCAAGUUUAAUAAAUAUUUAAAUUGUGCUGAAAAUUAAAUAAAAUCAAAUCCCAGACGAAUUAUCGGGAUUCAUUUAAUAAGUGUUUAGUUAUUUUAUGCCAGUGCCACGUGCCAGUGCGGCUAGUACCAAAUUAUCACCCUAUUAUGCAACCGGCUAUCUGGAGGCCGAAAUGGAUGAAAUAUGGGAAUUAACUAGUGCAGAGAUUCGACGCGGGAUCGCAAUCUUUUGAUAAAUAUUUUUUUGGAUUCGACGACAAGCCCCUUUUCGCUACACGGAGAGAAAACUCCAGCGAAUUAUUGAUAAAUUUGUAA